CCUGAUAUUUGGGAUGUUUCUUACAUCAAACGUAGUCAGGGUGAACUAUGUACUAAACCAAUACGGUUAGAGAAAUGGAGAUAAUACUGAAAGGAAAAAGCUUUGAAAAGUUCAACCUGCAGCAUGACAUGACCAGAAUAAUUAGGAUGAUGAUGAGAACAAAGCAAAAGUACAGAAAAAAACUCUUAAUGGGGCGUUUCAUGUGAAUUAGCUCAUUUAGUCAUCAUAACAAUUUUAUGAUGUAAUUACAACUAUUAUCUCUGUUACGAAUGAGAAAACCAAGGCGUGUAGAGUUUAAGCAGCUGCUUCAGUCACAGAAUUAACAUGUGAGGAAGUCUCUCCAGCUGUAAAACUGCGAUGGUGAAUCAUACAAUCCCUUAUCACUCAAACGUACCUGUCUCUCUGCAUUUCCAAGUCACCUCCUUUGCCUGGUCUUUAAAUCUCUAAUUGUCUCUAUCUGUCUUUCUCUCUGUCUCUCUCUCUCACACACACACACGUAUGGCAUCUGAUUAUCUCUGUCUCUUACCCUAGUAAUUUGGCCUUUGUAAGCAGGCAAGUGGCCCUGAUGUUCUGUCCAAAAAGAUAUUGGGGAACAUAUAGCAUUAAAAAGAACAGAUAUUAAAAAGGGGAAAAAAAACCUUCUGUUCCUUAACUCUUGGCCAUUAUGUCCACUUGUGAUACCCACCAAUGUUGCACCAUCAGCAGCCUUGCCAGAUCUUCCCUAUUCCUAAAGGUUAGCCCAUUAGCUGAUUUUCCUUUGGACUGGAAGAAGAAAAUGAUUAUGUGCAUGAAUAGAUAAUAUGAGUAAGUGGCCGGAAGCCAUUUUGAGUGGCAGAAUUCCCAUUUGCCGAAACCAUGAAAGUGACACCAAGUCACCACUUGGAAGCAGCCUAGGUCAGUGGCUAUAGCUCCAUGUUACCUAUCAUCACAGCACCAACCUCCAAGUUCUCUUUCUUGGCUACAAUCUAAAAGUCAGAUGCUGAGGCCCUUGAUGGAUAUGCAGCAAUGAUAAGAAGAGAGCGCUUUACCACAAGCUGGAAGCCAUCUCUGAUUCAAAGUGCUGAGUGAACACUUAGUCCCCACCCCUGCUGCUCCAUGUGUAAAGAGCACCUUCAGAGUCUCACUCUUGCCAUCACUCCACGUGUUUACCUACUCAUUUCCAGAGGACCACGAGGGAACCGACAGGAAAACCCAACUACUACUGGACAGCUUUGAUGACCCUAUCACCUACUUCACAGAAUGCAGAAAUUCAGGAUGCAAUACAACAAUACAACAACUGAUUUGCUAAAGAGAUUGGGAAGGAUUUCUUAGCUUAGCUACAAAUGAGGACCAGAAUGCCUCGUGGAGUCAAAACUUGACCACACCUACUAAAUUAGCAGUGGCCCUGGGAUGUGGUCUGGGAUGAUGUCCAAACAAGUGUUAAGCAUUAUUUGUCAUGGACUUUGGGCAAUAAAAUGUUUAACUUUUUUAUUAAAGAUCACUAAGACGUUUGUCAGUUA